GAAGGAGGAAUUCCCAGUAAGUGUGGGUCAUAAGCUUGUGUUGAUAGUCCCUCCCCUUUGUACACACUGCCCGUUGCUACUACUGAUUGGAUGGUUUAGUGAGGUCCGUGGAUGGGCCCCGGUGGGGUUGGCCAUGG
rnacentral:ncRNA from 1 species